AGCGAACGCUGGCGGCAGGCCUAACACAUGCAAGUCGAGCGGCCCUUCGGGGCAGCGGCGGACGGGUGAGUAACGCGUGGGAACGUGCCCUUUGGUACGGAACAACUGAGGGAAACUUCAGCUAAUACCGUAUGUGCCCUACGGGGGAAAGAUUUAUCGCCAUUGGAGCGGCCCGCGUUAGAUUAGCUAGUUGGUAGGGUAAUGGCCUACCAAGGCGACGAUCUAUAGCUGGUCUGAGAGGAUGAUCAGCCACACUGGGACUGAGACACGGCCCAGACUCCUACGGGAGGCAGCAGUGGGGAAUCUUGCGCAAUGGGCGAAAGCCUGACGCAGCCAUGCCGCGUGAAUGAUGAAGGUCUUAGGAUUGUAAAAUUCUUUCACCGGGGACGAUAAUGACGGUACCCGGAGAAGAAGCCCCGGCUAACUUCGUGCCAGCAGCCGCCGUAAUAC
rnacentral:rRNA from 1 species